UUUGCUACCAUAGCGGCAGUCAGACAGACCCUGACCAGAGAGACAAGCCCACAGACCAGUCUGACAUUGACCUUCUUCGCCGCUAUAUCACCAAACAUUUCCCAGGCCUCAUCCCUGAGCCGGCCCUGGUGGAGAGCUGCAUGUACACGGUAACACCUGAUCAUCAUUUUGUGCUGGACUGCCACCCUGCUUACGACAAUAUUGUAAUUGGUGCAGGAUUCUCAGGUCACGGCUUCAAGUUUGGACCCGUCGUCGGCAAGCUGCUCUGUGAACUCAGCCUGGGAGAGGUGCCCUCCUAUGACCUUUCACCUUUCAGAAUAGCACGCUUCCAGACAAUCAUCAAGUCACCCUUGUAGAAAGGACUGUCCUCCAUAUUUCAUGUGAUCAUCCAUCUCAUCUGAGAGAAAUCAACUUGCCUUAUGUCCAUCAACCGUGCAAGACUUCUUGGGGAAGGCCGAUCUUUCCAAAGAUUGAACUAUUAGUGAAAUGAAUGAAUGAAUGACUAUGAUUUAGGAUGUGAAUAGCUGAAGGAAGAAAAGUUUCAUUCAGAUCCACUUGUUAAAUGAAGAGGUUCAGCAUUAAGGUAGCAAAGUGUUAUGAUUGACUUCUUUUUUUUUGACAUGAAAUUGACUUUUUGCCUGACUCUGAUUCAGUGCACUCAACUUUUUUGAAGUUGUCUCAUUUUUGUAAACCACAAUCAACUCCAUGCUUGAUUAGAGAUGGGAAUUAAUACGAGCUUUCCGGUUGGGAUUCCACUUUCAA